rnacentral:rRNA from 1 species
GUCUACGGCCAUACCACCCUGAACGCGCCCGAUCUCGUCUGAUCUCGGAAGCUAAGCAGGGUUGGGCCUGGUUAGUACUUGGAUGGGAGACCAAAAGCGUUUGUGAACA